CUGGCCGCCGCCGCGGACGACCCCGAGCUCGGCAGAGUGGAGACGUGGGCGAGUGAAAACUGGGAGGCGUAUGAAGCGUGGCUGCUGGGGGACGAGGACGAGCCCGAGCCCGAGCCGCCCGAGCACCUGCACUGGCCCGACACCGCCGAGAUAACCGAAGCGAGUAGCACGCCCCCGCCGGCGCCGUCACUAGUGACGUCAGCGGCCGCGUCACUGGCUUCAUUGUGGCGCGGCUGGGCCAAGUGAAACCGGGAACUGCUUACUUCAGCCUGUAACAUCCUACUGUUUCAAUGUUUGUCAUGUGCGGGCAUCGAACCCGCAAACGUCAGCGUAACAGCCGCAAACCAGGGCUGUGACCGUUGCUCCAACGUUGUCGGACCGGGAACUGAAUCUAGUCCAAUUGUUGUAUUUCGGGAAUUUAUUUUAUUUUUUCGGACCAAACUAGGUUACUUGUAGGUUGUAAUAGAAUUGUGUACAACAAUGUGCAAAUACCGUUAAUUACUUCAAUGUGAAAACUCAUUAUUAGGGGAA